rnacentral:lncRNA from 1 species
AGAGGGGCUAGGCUCUGGGAUUCAAGAUGGAGGCGCUGAGUCGAGCUGGGCAGGAGAUGAGCCUAGCGGCCCUGAAGCAACACGACCCCUAUAUCACCAGCAUCGCAGACCUCACGGGCCAGGUCGCUCUGUACACCUUCUGCCCCAAGGCCAACCAGUGGGAGAAGACUGAUAUAGAAGGGACCUUAUUCGUAUAUCGAAGGUCAGCUUCCCCUUACCAUGGUUUUACCAUUGUGAAUCGACUAAAUAUGCACAAUCUAGUUGAACCAGUGAAUAAAGAUUUGGAAUUUCAGCUCCAUGAACCAUUUCUUCUGUAUAGAAAUGCAAGCUUGUCGAUAUAUAGUAUCUGGUUUUAUGACAAGAAUGACUGUCACCGCAUAGCAAAACUCAUGGCUGAUGUGGUAGAAGAGGAGACACGGCGAUCCCAGCAAGCUGCUCGGGACAAACAGAGUCCCAGCCAGGCCAAUGGCUGCAGCGACCACAGGCCCAUCGACAUCCUGGAGAUGCUGAGCAGAGCCAAGGAUGAGUAUGAGAGGAAUCAGAUGGGUGACUCAAAUAUCUCCAGCCCUGGGUUACAGCCAAGCACUCAGCUCUCCAAUCUGGGAAGCACCGAGACUCUAGAAGAAAUGCCCUCCGGGUCACAGGAUAAGUCUGCUCCAUCUGGACACAAGCAUCUGACGGUAGAAGAGUUAUUUGGAACCUCUUUGCCAAAGGAACAACCAGCAGUUGUGGGUCUGGAUUCAGAAGAAAUGGAGAGGUUGCCAGGAGAUGCCUCCCAGAAAGAGCCCAAUUCAUUCCUACCAUUUCCCUUUGAGCAGUUAGGAGGAGCCCCUCAAUCAGAAACCCUGGGUGUCCCUUCUGCUGCCCACCAUUCAGUCCAGCCUGAAAUCACCACCCCGGUGCUAAUCACUCCAGCCUCCAUCACACAGUCCAAUGAAAAGCAUGCUCCAACCUACACAAUCCCGUUGAGCCCUGUUCUCAGUCCCACUCUGCCAGCUGAAGCUCCUACUGCACAGGUUCCCCCCAGCUUACCUCGAAACAGCACCAUGAUGCAGGCAGUGAAGACCACGCCUAGACAGAGGUCUCCACUCCUGAACCAGCCAGUCCCUGAGCUAAGCCAUGCCAGUCUGAUUGCCAACCAGAGCCCCUUCAGGGCCCCAUUGAACGUGACGAACACAGCUGGCACAUCCCUCCCAAGCGUUGAUCUUCUCCAGAAACUCAGGUUGACCCCACAGCAUGACCAAAUACAGACACAACCACUUGGGAAAGGUGCAAUGGUAGCCAGCUUUUCUCCGGCAGCUGGUCAGCUAGCCACACCUGAGAGCUUCAUAGAGCCUCCCUCUAAGACAGCAGCAGCAAGAGUGGCGGCCUCAGCCUCCCUGAGCAACAUGGUGCUUGCUCCCCUUCAGUCUAUGCAGCAGAACCAGGAUCCUGAAGUAUUUGUGCAGCCUAAGGUGUUAUCCAGUGCCAAAAGAGUUGCAGGCGCCCCACUGGUUACUGCAACGACCACUGCAGUGUCUUCAGUCCUGCUGGCCCCAAGUGUUUUCCAGCAGACAGUUACAAGAUCUUCGGACCUUGAGAGGAAAGCCAGCUCCCCUUCUCCUCUAACUAUUGGAACGCCAGAAAGUCAGAGAAAGCCUUCCAUUAUUCUCAGCAAGUCUCAGCUCCAGGAUACAUUAAUACAUCUAAUAAAGAAUGAUUCCAGCUUCCUCAGUACACUUCAUGAAGUCUACUUGCAGGUUCUGACCAAGAACAAAGACAACCACAACCUAUGACUGGAGCAGAAUAAGUCUAAAGGCAGAGCCCCAGCCUCAGAGACAAAUAGGCUUCAUCAUGGAAACUUCUGAGCAGAACAUUGAGUUUGAGAAUCCUGAAAUUGAGCCUAUGAGAAAGAGACUCAUUUCUUAAGAAUGUUUUCCAAGUGACAUUCUCAGUGAUAAUGGAGGUUUCACUGUGAAGCAUCACCAGCAGAUCCUUGUUUUGAC